CAUUGCACGUCCCCGCACACAUCUCAGGGAACCCUAACCGAUCCAACUCCUCCCUCCCAUCCCCAUCCCUAGGAGCAAUGGCCCCGGCGGCGCAGGAGGAGCAGUGGUACAUCAUGUACGCUGUUCCGGAUGUGUCGGAAGAUUUCAUGAAGCCCCCGAAAUUCCCCAACGCGGUCUUCACCUUCAACAAGGUUCCGCUACCUUCCCGCCUAUUCGUCGAGAGCAGCGUCGCCAGCCCCGCCGGACUCGUCGAGUACCCCUACAUCGCGGCCGCCGACCGCAGCGGCCACCUUCUGCUAUGCGGUUACGCCUCCUUCGGGCUCGCCGUCUACAUCUGCGAUCCGUUCUUCCGCAGGACGACGGGCAUCUUCCCCCACGACGGCGGCUUCAACUGCCGCCACUGCGUCGGCCUCAUCCGCGAUCACAACCGCAGGCUUCUCAUGGUGGCCGAUCUCAACCCGUGCUUUUCCGAAGAGGUUGUCUUCUUCACGCUCUUCUGCACGGUCGACUUGUACUCGUGGGUCGAGAAGGAGCCCGACUGCUCGAAAAUCUUGGAUAAACAAGUGUGGCGCGGUGACGGCGUUCUCACCCAUCAAGGUUUGCUCUGGUGGUUCGACUUCUCCUACUGUGUACUUGCCUGCGACCCCUUCGACGAUAAACCGGUGCUUCACCAAAUCAAGUUCCCGCAUGUACAACACGAGCUGCCCUUUGCGCCGUCCACAUUCAACGGCGACACACACCGCUGCUUGAAGGAACUGACGUGUCGGAUCCCACGGUGGUUUAUUUCCUGAAUCAAUAUGACUCGGUGGAGGAUUUCCAUGAUGAAGUGAUUGCUGCUACAGACAGGUGGUGUCCUGAAUUGCAUGAGAUUGGUCUGGAGGAACUUGAAGAUGGAGAUGAUGAUGCCUCCGAGAUGAGCGAGGAUCUUGAAGGGGAUGGAGAUGACUCUGAGACGAGUGGGGAUCUUGAAGAUGACUCCGAGAUCAGUGAGGACGAUGCCGAAGAGGACGGAGAUGACUAAAGACUGAGAUGACGUACGUAGACGAUGGAGGUGAUUUAGAAGUGUGCUAAUCUGUUACACAUGUCUGCUUUGAGUCACCCGCAUCCACCCCGCGCGCGUUACUUCACUUCAAGAAAUGCUUUUACUGUGUUGCUCCUU